rnacentral:rRNA from 1 species
GGGGAAUCUUGGACAAUGGGCGCAAGCCUGAUCCAGCCAUGCCGCGUGGAUGAUGAAGGCCCUAGGGUUGUAAAAUCCUUUCGUCAGGGGCGAUAAUGACGGUACCUGAAGAAGAAGCCCCGGCUAACUUCGUGCCAGCAGCCGCGGUAAUACGAAGGGGGCUAGCGUUGUUCGGAAUUACUGGGCGUAAAGCGCAUGUAGGCGGGUCGUUAAGUCGGGGGUGAAAGCCCAGAGCUCAACUCUGGAACUGCCUUCGAUACUGGCGACCUGGACCCAAGGAGAGGCGAGUGGAAUUGCGAGUGUAGAGGUGAAAUUCGUAGAUAUUCGCAGGAACACCAGUGGCGAAGGCGACUCGCUGGACUUGUGGUGACGCUGAGAUGCGAAAGCGUGGGGAGCAAAC